rnacentral:lncRNA from 1 species
ACAGGGCUUCACUCUGUUGCCCAGGCUUUAGUGCAGUGGCAUAAUCAUAACUCACUGCAGCCUCUGCCACUCAAGCUCAAGUGAUCCUCCCACCUCAGCCUCCCAAGUAGCUGGGACCACAGUCCCACACCACCAUGCCCAGAGACUCCCAGCUUUGGUGUCCUUAAGAAAGGGACUUACUGACUUCAUGCAUCUUUCAAGCAAAGAUUAACAACAAUGAUAAUAGAGUAAUAAGUUGGCCUGGAAUCUUGGCAAAACUGAAAACCACAUGUUCUGAGAGUCUCUUCCUGCGCUGGUAAUUAAGUUUCUUCCCCCUACAAAAUGAGACUCUUUUGGACCAACAGGCGUUAGGCAUGUGGACAUCUUGAUGGGAUCCCAUCUUCUCUUUUGAGGAUCAAAUCCUGGCCAACUUUGUUUGAUGUUCAGAGCCCUGUAUGGGAGUCAAAGCCUGCUAAUAAAGCAGUCGUGCCUGUUUGGAGUCAUUCUACAGCUCAGGACUUCAUCCCAGGAGGGAGGUGUAGUGGGUGACUCACUAACUGUAAUAUAAACAACGACAACAAAAGGGUCUCUGAGUCACACUGACAUUGUGGAAUCAAACAUAUAUCUCUGUGCCCUGACCCCCACCAAGGAUGCAGUCACACGGAUGUCCAGUUAUCUUCUAAUCAAUGCCCAGUCCAGAUGGUCACCACCCACCUCUGCAGCAAAAGUCACUGCGCAUUUGGAUAUCUACACAGCUUGUUUGUAACUGAGUUAGUGCAGCCUAGUAAGGUACAGAUGUUUUCCUUUUAAUCCUGUUUGUACUUUGAAAUGGUCACACUCGAUGUCAUUUGGCUGCAGGAAGCUCCUCCAGGAAUGAUCCCGCAAGAGAAAUGGGAUGUGCGUGGCACCAUCUGAUUCGGGGCAGCUCUGUCACUCCCUGCAGAACUGAGCACACUGAAUUUAUUUGAAUAGAACAGGUUAUGAGGGUGAGGAUAAACAUAUCAAUACCUCAUUUUUUUUUUGAACGCCGACUCUAUGAUCGGAUUACCUGGCCCUUCAAGAGAUGGAGUUCUGCUCGUCGCCCAGGCUGGAGUGCAGGGGCGCAGUCUUGGCUCACCACAACCUCUGCCUCCUGGUUCAAGCAAUUCUCCCGCCUCAGCCUCCCGAGUAGCUGGGAUUACAGCAGCCACCCAAGACAUGCCUGCUUCCCGUUCACCUUCCACUGUGAUUGUGAGUUUCCUGAGGCCUCCCCAGCCGUACUUCCUGGACAGCCUGCAGAACCGUAUGGACUGAGGGGUCUCCCUGGGCUGGGCCGAGCAGGAGGAGGCUGAGCAGUGAAAACGGUGACCCCUGCCCUCACGGAGCUAACGAGAAGAGCAAAUGGCUGGCAACGGUGCAUGACACAGAAUGAGCAACGGGCUGCACACAUCGCGAUUUACGUGGCUUUGGAAAAAACGCGUCUCACAAGUUGGGGCUGUCAUACAUUGGCUUCUUGGUAAUCAAUGCGUUUCAGCAAUAUAUGGGGGUGAGUUUAGUUUCCAGUUGGCUUCCCUGAGGGUGUUGGAUAAAAUUGCAAUUUAGAUUCAAUCAAUACACAUUUAGUGAGCACCUAUUCUUUGCCUGAACGAUUGUGGGCAUUGUGGGGGAUACAAAGGGAGACAUCGUGGGUGGAGCUUACCAUGGAAACAACUGUCUCUUGCUCCAUGGUGUUUACCUUGCCUUGGAAAAUAAACAACGUAAACAUUUUUUUGUGACAACGGAGACAGGAUUGAGAGACUUGCACAGACUUCCUUUCCCAAAACUUCUGCAGACUAAAAUUCUACCAUUAGCUAUUAAUUUCUUUGACUAAAUUUUGUCCUCACUCUGCAGUUUCUUUUUUCUAAAGUAAAAAUACUUCUAGAAAGAGAACACGACGUCCUUAACCUCUUAAAACAGAAAUGACAUAUAAAUCGACUUGCACACCAAUUUGGGCCCUUGGAUAUUUGUUGCCUGAAGAGCUGUGUUGAAAAGGCCUCUGAGGCUCAAUCUGGCCUCUGAUGCAAAGAAUGUCGAUCGAUUGCUGAUGUCUGCCCUGAGUGCUGGAAGGGAGGAUGGCAUUUACUAUCCCUGCCUUAAAUUAGAGGAGCUUAUGGGGUUCUUCCCCAACUAUAACAAGAGGGGUUAAAUGAACACUAAUCAUCUGAUAGGACAGCCACUGAAGGAGGUGAGGGGAAUUUAAGAAGGAAAGGCUGUGACUGCCAAUCUCCUAAUGUCACCUGCAUGGCCGUCAGUCACCUGCAGCCCUUGUCAGUGCACCCAAAGCCUUUGCAGAUGUCAACCCAGCUGGCUUUCCAGCCAUGUCUCACCAUACCCCAGUGCUCCUCUGCUCCAGCCCCACUGAACUCUGCCAGACCUGGACGUGCCCUUAUACAUGUGCUUCACACUCUAUCAUCUUUGUCCUUCCUUCUUUUUUUUUUGAGUCAAGCUUUCACUCUGUCGCUCAGGCUGGAGUGUAGAUCACAGCUCGCUGCAGCCUCCAACUCAGCUAAAGCGAUCCUUCCUCCUCAGCCUCCAGAGCAGCUGGGACUACAGGUGCAUGCCACCAUGCCCAGGUAAUUUUUUUCUUUUUUGUAGAGACAGGGUCUUGCAAUGUUGCCCAGGCUGGCCUCGAACUCCUGGCCUCAAGCACCUCCCACUUCGGCCUCCCAAAGUGCUGGGAUUAUAGGCAUGAGCCACUGUGUCCAGCCCAUCCUUGUCCUUUCACAUGUGUCACCUUUCUCGUGAGACUAAGAGGUCUGUGGGAGCAGGGUUAGUGCCUGGUCUCUGUGAUCCAGUCCCCAGCCCCAGGCCUGACACACAGCUGGUGCUCAACAACCACUGGCUGAAUAUUGGAAUGAAUAAAUGAACGAACUUUGUCAGUGUGGCAGAUGCUAUGCCUAUGCUGAGACUGCUGUUUUUUCACAUGCCCCUGCUUCUCCUGUGUUCCUGCAGUAGCACACUGCCGGUGGUAAAUGAAUCCCCAAGUAUGAAUGCUUCACAGAACAAAGUUUAAUUUCCCCUCCCACAAAGUCCAGUGCAGAUUGUGCAGCCCUCCGGAACACUUGUCUUGGUAUUAACCACAUCUUUUAUUUCCUGCAUUCCAAUGCUCUGACAUCUGGGGCCUCGCUGACCCCCUAGAGUUAGCCAAUUUCUAGAGAUACAAGUUGCCAUGACAGCACUUUUCAGAUGCAAACAACCCACCCAAACCAAACAAAGCCUUCUUUUCCCUCCACCUCCUAACUGACCUUGGUGCUUCCCCGUGUGGCUCUGUGUGGCGUGGCAGGCGGUGUCCCCUCCUCCUGGGAACUGUGAGUAACAAACUACUUUUUCAAUAGCAAUCAUCUCCUGAUCUGUUGGCUUCACUAUACCUCAAAAUUUCUACUGAUACACUGUGUUUUGAAACAGGCUUCCACUGAGUGACUCAGCGAUCCAGUCUGCUUUCAUAGGUGGCUCUAAUGAGGCAGAAAUUUAAAAAUAAAUAUGCAUUCAUUCACUCCAAGAAAAGUAACAGGCAAGGGUUCACAAGAAAAAAAGAAGUUUUCCUCUGCCUAGCAAGCACACUUCAAGGACAGUUAUAAGAUAAUGCUGUACGAGCAGCCAAGGCCAAAGGAAUGGGCUUCAGACACCCCUCUCCCCCAGAGCAAUGUUGAAGGAAAAAAAAAGAGAAAAAGAUAAAUUACUUUACUGUUACUCCUUUCCCAGGCUUCUUAAACGUGAUUAUGUUUUACAAAUGUCUGUAUUUAGCCAGUUCUUGUUUUUCUUUUGACGCAGCUACAAGGCCACAAAUUAUACACUAUAUGAUUAACUGCUUUUGUUUUACUUUUGUAAGUCUGCUUAUAAAAACCCCACUCAGUCGUUGUUCAAUGCUCAGCUUUUUGGAUGCGAAUCCACUGAGCCAGUGCGUACCUAAAAUAAACAAUCCUCCCGUUCUCCG